rnacentral:rRNA from 1 species
UCAGUCGACUCCUACGGGGAGGCAGCAGUGGGGAAUAUUGCACAAUGGGGGAAACCCUGAUGCAGCCAUGCCGCGUGUGUGAAGAAGGCCUUCGGGUUGUAAAGCACUUUCAGUAGGGAGGAAGGUAGUGUAGUUAACACCUGCAUUAUUUGACGUUACCUACAGAAGAAGCACCGGCUAACUCCGUGCCAGCAGCCGCGGUAAUACGGAGGGUGCGAGCGUUAAUCGGAAUUACUGGGCGUAAAGCGCAUGCAGGCGGCCUGUUAAGUCAGAUGUGAAAGACCCGGGGCUUAACCUCGGAAUUGCAUUUGAAACUGGCAGGCUAGAGUCUUGUAGAGGGGGGUAGGAAUUUCAGGUGUAGCGGUGAAAUGCGUAGAGAUCUGAAGGAAUACCAGUGGCGAAGGCGGCCCCCUGGACAAAGACUGACGCUCAGAUGCGAAAGCGUGGGGAGCAAACAGGAUUAGAUACCCUGGUAG